AUGAAACAACAACUGGUACCGUAUAGAAGGGGCCAUAAACUGGAGAGUCUUGACCAAUUCGAAAGAUCAUUUGGUGUAGUUGAAAUAACAGAAUUGGACCUUGUUUGGUCAAGUAAGGGAAACUCAAUCAAAUUCAUAACUGUCUCAAUAGAAUCUUUUCCUUCUUUUUUUUUGCCUCUGAGGUUUCCCUUCUCUUCCAGCAUUCUUGAAACCUGA
rnacentral:rRNA from 1 species